CUGAGAUCGGAUGUCAUAGACGACUGUUUAAAUAGGUAUAUCGCUGUGCGGACCUGACGACAGUGCCAUCUUUGAUAAGGUGCGUCAUCAGGCUCAUAGGGCAGCGGUCCUUGCACGGGCAGUUCGCUGAAGUCAUCGGACGGCUGUUCUGAACAACCAGCAACCGGAUGCGUUGAAUCACCCGAAUCAACGACAUCAGUACCCCCAACAGCCUGGCAGGUCAUAAGUUCUUGUUCCAGAUCGCUGACGCGGGCUUUAAGCUCGUUUCUGUCCACGAUAGCCCGUCUUCAGGAUUUUUACCAAAGAGAGUUCGGUUUAAAGCCUCUGUCAUAGUGGAUGCGGCAAUUGCGGCACGAGCGGCAAAAUCUGUACAAAAUCACAAGUCAGUGCGGUGUAAUAUUUGAAUAUAGGUGUAACGUUACUUUUCUUUUCUGGUUUCUAAUGAAAUUAUACACAAACUGAAGGAU